CCUACGGGAGGCUGCAGUGGGGAAUAUUGGACAAUGGGGGGAACCCUGAUCCAGCCAUGCCGCGUGUGUGAAGAAGGCCCUCGGGUUGUAAAGCACUUUCAGUGAGGAAGAACGCCUGGUGGUUAAUACCCAUCAGGAAAGACAUCACUCACAGAAGAAGCACCGGCUAACUCCGUGCCAGCAGCCGCGGUAAUACGGAGGGUGCGAGCGUUAAUCGGAAUUACUGGGCGUAAAGCGCGCGUAGGUGGCUUGAUAAGCCGGUUGUGAAAGCCCCGGGCUCAACCUGGGAACGGCAUCCGGAACUGUCAAGCUAGAGUGCAGGAGAGGAAGGUAGAAUUCCCGGUGUAGCGGUGAAAUGCGUAGAGAUCGGGAGGAAUACCAGUGGCGAAGGCGGCCUUCUGGACUGACACUGACACUGAGGUGCGAAAGCGUAGGUAGCAAACAGGAUUAGAUACCCCGGUAGUC
rnacentral:rRNA from 1 species